ACUCCUACGGGAGGCAGCAGUAGGGAAUCUUCCACAAUGGACGAAAGUCUGAUGGAGCAACGCCGCGUGAGUGAAGAAGGGUUUCGGCUCGUAAAACUCUGUUGUUAAAGAAGAACAUAUCUGAGAGUAACUGUUCAGGUAUUGACGGUAUUUAACCAGAAAGCCACGGCUAACUACGUGCCAGCAGCCGCGGUAAUACGUAGGUGGCAAGCGUUGUCCGGAUUUAUUGGGGCGUAAAGCGAGCGCAGGCGGUUUUUAAGUCUGAUGUGAAAGCCUUCGGCUCAACCGAAGAAGUGCAUCGGAAACUGGGAAACUUGAGUGCAGAAGAGGACAGUGGAACUCCAUGUGUAGCGGUGAAAUGCGUAGAUAUAUGGAAGAACACCAGUGGCGAAGGCGGCUGUCUGGUCUGUAACUGACGCUGAGGCUCGAAAGUAUGGGUAGCAAACAGGAUUAGAUACCCUGGUAGGCUAGCG
rnacentral:rRNA from 1 species